GAAAAGAAAAAAAAGAAAAUAGCACUGAGGUGUAAGGAGUGACUGGCUUCAGUUUCUAUUUGUUUAGUAUUUUGGCUCAGGAAGCACAUGCUGGUGAGUCUAGUGCUCUCGGUCAGUCUGUGAGCCUGGGGUCAAAAUUAUCUUCGUUUUACAAAUGAGAACACAGGUUGCCCUUGUCCUUUCCAGGGGCCCCCAAAGCCCUGGCUCUGCACUACACACAUGGUUGAUCGUGAAGCAUUGGCCUGAUGGACCUGGGGCUCGCAAAGGUGAACUGGCCUCAUUCCCAAGUUCAUCCGAUUGAGCCACAAAAAGCAUCCAUGGUUUCAUUCUGGACUUUUGACACCCUGCCGCUUUUUGCUGAUAGUUUGCUUGGGCAGUGAUUCUGCGUGGGUGGCUCCUUUUUCUGAAAAGCCCGGUGUUCAGGGUUGUCCCAUGAACUCAGAAGGCUCCUACUGUCUUUGGGAGAGUGAGGCAGGGGUGGAGCGAACUGGAGUCUCGGCCAUGCUUUUCGUCAUCUGUUGCAGCUUCUUUGCCAUCCAGACCACUCUAUGCAAAAUUCUUUCCUUCUUGGCUCAAGAUGCAAGAAGAUUGUAUCAGGGUUCUCUAAAGAAACAGCCAACAAAAGAUACUUAUCUUUCUCUCUCUCCCUUUUGCUCUCUCUUCUAUCCAUCUAUCAUCAGUCUAGCUAUCCAUCUAUCAUCCAUCUCUCUACCUACCUACCUAUCUACCUGACUACAUUUAUUUUAAGGAAUUGGCUCCCACAGUGUGGGCGCUAGCAAGUCUGAAGCCGCAGGGGAGAUUGACAGGCUGCAAAUUCAGAAUAAUUCUGGGCACUGUCUCAGGCUUUCAUGCUCUUCUUGGCACCUCCACUUGCCCACCUGUCACCUACGAGACUGAGGCUGCUCUAAGUUGAACCAAGUAUUUGAAGAUGAAUCCCUCUCUUGGCUGCACCUGUUCAAACUUUCUCUAUGGACUUUUUUUUUUAGAAAACCUGAACCAAGCAAAUCAUCUUCACAAAAUUUGUCCAAAUGCCAAGAAGGCAAGGAAAAUUUAGUAUUGAUUCGAUGUUUACGAUUAUGGCUAAUGUAUUCAUGGUAGAUAACAUUUAUGAUACAGCAAAAUUGUACAUCCACGUAUUCACGAGUAUAUAAUGGAACCUCUCGUAAUUAGCACAUAUAAUAUAUUUAUAGUAUAUUUAUUCCAUCUUGAGUAGAUUUUUCUGGUAAGUAAUUUAAGAACUGUUUUAUAGAUGGUGAGACGGUUUGGAUUUGUGUCCCCGCCCAGAUCUCCUGUUGAAUGGGAGGAGGGGCCUGGUGGUGUUACCACAUGGAAGGUCUUGACUGUGAGUUGUGCAGGUUCUUGGUGUGUUGAAUGAAGAAGUGAACAAAACACACAAACAAAGCGACAAAAGAACGAAGCAACAAAAUCACAGAUUAAUUGAAGUGAAAGUGCACUCCACAGAGUGGGAACAUGCUGGAACAAGCAGCUCCAGAGCCCCCAGUUGCAGUGUUCUUUGGAGUUUGCAUUAGGCUAAAAGAAUCUGGUAACACUCUGACGUGCUCUUGGGAGGCCUCAGUUGGUUACACCCUAUGAAGGAUUGGCCCGUGGUCAGUCAGAGGCUGAAGUGGAGACCAGGCCCGUGGUCAAUCAGAGGCUGAAGUGGAAACUUCUGUCUUGUUAUCACAGGAGCCAGGAAGUGGCCUGCGUGCCGCUCACCCUUGCCUGGAAGUGGCUGCACCUGCUGUUCUUCCAUGUGUGCGUUAACCCUUGGUUACCCUAAUUCCCUAUUCUCCUGCCUCAGUGGGAGGUGAUGGGAUCGUAGGAGCGGAGCUCCCCUUGCAGUUCAUGCCAUAGCGAGUGAGUUCUCGUGAGAUCUGGGUGUUUAGCCGUGUGCGGCGCCUCCCGCUUCUCUCCUGCUGCCGUAGGAAGAUGUGCUUGCCCUCCCUCUGCCUUCUGCUGUGACCGUGAGUUUCCUGAGGCCUCCAGGUCAUCCUUCCUGUUAAGCCUGCAGAACUGUGAGUCAAUUAUACCUCUUUUCUUUAUCAAUUACCCAGUCUCGGGUAGCUGUUUAUAGCAGUGUGAAAAUGGACUAAUACAGAUGGGUUGUCUUCGCUUUCAGUAUAUUUACGGUGCUGAAUCAAUUUCCAGUUACAAUGUUAUUUCCAUGAGGGAACGACAGGCUGUUUUAUGACCUGCUUUAUGAAAUAGUUUUCCAGAAUUCAUCUUGGCCAGAGUGACAGUGCCUAGUGGCCUUUGACCCCUGACCUUUUCCCUCCCCUCCUCGUUCUGCUCCGUUGUGCCCCAGUGUUGCUGGAGGGUGGCACCCAGUUACCUCUGGUGUUGAGAGGGUAGUACAGAUGUCUAUUUUUAGGUCUAUAUCCUGAGAAUCAGGUUAAAUCUAUUAAAAUGGAAUGUUUGCUUUGUAAGAAGGAAUUUGUGUGUAUGUCUGUCUUGAAGUAACGUCCCUGU